rnacentral:misc_RNA from 1 species
GCAAACUUGGUCAUUUAGAGGAAGUAAAAGUCGUAACAAGGUUUCCGUAGGUGAACCUGCGGAAGGAUCAUUAUAGACUAAAUUUUGGCUGUUGUUGCUGCUGGCUUUUGAAGAGCAUUGUGCACACACAGUUCAAUUUUUAAAUCCUCCCCCCAUGUGCAUCUUGUAGAUCUGAAAUAAUUCAAGUUCUUUUCAAGAUCUUGGUUUUGUAGAAUUGCUUUGCCACCAUGGUCAGCUUUUCUUGUGCUGUGCUUCAGAUCUAUGUUUUUUUUACUAUACAUCCCAUGGAGUAAUAGAAUGACACAACAGGCUAUUGAGCCUUUAAACCAAAUAAUACAACUUUCAACAACGGAUCUCUUGGCUCUCGCAUCGAUGAAGAACGCAGC